rnacentral:sRNA from 1 species
ACUGGGUGUGGUGGCGCAUGCCUGUAAUCCCAGUGACUCAGGAGGCUGAGGCAGGAGGAUUGCAAGUUCAAAGCCACCCUCAGCAAUUUAGGCUCUAAACAACUUAGUGAGACCCUGUCUUAA